GUAGUCGUGGCCGAGAUUUUAACACGAUGGACUAGAAAUUCAUUGGAUUAUUCCAGUGUAGGUUCGAAUCCUACCGACUACG